UACGGAGGGGGCUAGCGUUGUUCGGAAUUACUGGGCGUAAAGCGCACGUAGGCGGGUCUGUAAGUAGGGGGUGAAAUCCCAGGGCUCAACCCUGGAACUGCCUUCUAGACUGCAGGCCUCGAGGUCAGGAGAGGCGAGUGGAAUACCGAGUGUAGAGGUGAAAUUCGUAGAUAUUCGGUGGAACACCAGUGGCGAAGGCGACUCGCUGGACUGAUACUGACGCUGAGGUGCGAAAGCGUGGGGAGCGAACAGG
rnacentral:rRNA from 1 species